GGGGCCUUAGCUCAGCUGGGAGAGCGCUUGCAUGGCAUGCAAGAGGUCAGCGGUUCGAUCCCGCUAGGCUCCA
rfam:Devosia epidermidihirudinis strain E84 contig16, whole genome shotgun sequence.